rnacentral:rRNA from 1 species
AGAACGAACGCUGGCGGCAGGCCUAACACAUGCAAGUCGAACGCCGUAGCAAUACGGAGUGGCAGACGGGUGAGUAACGCGUGGGAACCUUCCCUAUGGUUCGGAAUAGCUCAGGGAAACCUGGGGUAAUACCGGAUAAGCCCUUCGGGGAAAGAUUUAUCGCCAUUGGAUGGGCCCGCGUAGGAUUAGCUAGUUGGUGAGGUAACGGCUCACCAAGGCGACGAUCCUUAGCUGGUCUGAGAGGAUGAUCAGCCACACUGGGACUGAGACACGGCCCAGACUCCUACGGGAGGCAGCAGUGGGGAAUAUUGGACAAUGGGCGAAAGCCUGAUCCAGCCAUGCCGCGUGAGUGACGAAGGCCUUAAGGGUUGUAAAGCUCUUUUGGCGGGAAGAGUAAUGACGGUACCCGCAGAAUAAGCUCCGGCUAACGUUCGUGCCAGCAGCCGC